CGGCGGACGGGUGAGUAACGCGUGGGUAACCUGCCUCAUACAGGGGGAUAACAGUUAGAAAUGACUGCUAAUACCGCAUAAGACCACGGUACCGCAUGGUACAGUGGUAAAACUCCGGUGGUAUGAGAUGGACCCGCGUCUGAUUAGGUAGUUGGUGGGGUAACGGCCUACCAAGCCGACGAUCAGUAGCCGACCUGAGAGGGUGACCGGCCACAUUGGGACUGAGACACGGCCCAG
rnacentral:rRNA from 1 species